rnacentral:rRNA from 1 species
CUCUACGGGAGGCAGCAGUGAGGAAUAUUGGACAAUGUGCGCAAGCCUGAUCCAGCCAUGCCGCGUGCAGGAUGACGGUCCUAUGGAUUGUAAACUGCUUUUAUACGAGAAGAAACAUCCCGACGUGUCGGGACUUGACGGUAUCGUAAGAAUAAGGAUCGGCUAACUCCGUGCCAGCAGCCGCGGUAAUACGGAGGAUCCAAGCGUUAUCCGGAAUCAUUGGGUUUAAAGGGUCCGUAGGCGGUUUAAUAAGUCAGUGGUGAAAGCCCAUCGCUCAACGGUGGAACGGCCAUUGAUACUGUUAGACUUGAAUUAUUAGGAAGUAACUAGAAUAUGUAGUGUAGCGGUGAAAUGCUUAGAGAUUACAUGGAAUACCAAUUGCGAAGGCAGGUUACUACUAAUUGAUUGACGCUGAUGGACGAAAGCGUGGGUAGCGAACAGGAUUAGAUACCCUGGUAGUCCACGCCGUAAACGAUGGAUACUAGCUGUUGGAAGCAAUUUCAGUGGCUAAGCGAAAGUGAUAAGUAUCCCACCUGGGGAGUACGUUCGCAAGAAUGAAACUCAAAGGAAUUGACGGGGGCCCGCACAAGCGGUGGAGCAUGUGGUUUAAUUCGAUGAUACGCGAGGAGCCUUACCAAGGCUUAAAUGUAGAUUGACCGGUUUGGAAACAGAUCUUUCGCAAGACAAUUUACAAGGUGCCGCAUGGUUGUCGUCAGCUCGUGCCGUGAGGUGUCAGGUUAAGUCCUAUAACGAGCGCAACCCCUGUUGUUAGUUGCCAGCGAGUCAUGUCGGGAACUCUAACAAGACUGCCAGUGCGAACUGUGAGGAAGGUGGGGAUGACGUCAAAUCAUCACGGCCCUUACGCCUUGGGCUACACACGUGCUACAAUGGCCGGUACAGAGAGCAGCCACUGGGCGACCAGGAGCGAAUCUAUAAAACCGGUCACAGUUCGGAUCGGAGCCUGCAACUCGACUCCGUGAAGCUGGAAUCGCUAGUAAUCGGAUAUCAGCCAUGAUCCGGUGAAUACGUUCCCGGGCCUUGCACACACCGCCCGU